UACGUAGGGUGCAAGCGUUGUCCGGAAUUAUUGGGCGUAAAGGGCUCGUAGGCGGUCUGUUGCGUCGGGAGUGAAAACUUACAGCUUAACUGUGAGCGUGCUUUCGAUACGGGCAGGCUUGAGGCAUUCAGGGGAGAACGGAAUUCCUGGUGUAGCGGUGAAAUGCGCAGAUAUCAGGAGGAACACCGGUGGCGAAGGCGGUUCUCUGGGAAUGUCCUGACGCUGAGGAGCGAAAGUGUGGGGAGCGAACAGG
rnacentral:rRNA from 1 species